GCCUGGGUGGCGGAAUCGGUAGACGCACGGGACUUAAAAUCCCGUGUCCUCUGUGGACGUGCGGGUUCAAGUCCCGCCCUAGGCACCA
rnacentral:tRNA from 4 species